rnacentral:rRNA from 1 species
AUGAAACACUCCUACGGGAGGCAGCAGUGGGGAAUAUUGGACAAUGGGCGAAAGCCUGAUCCAGCAAUGCCGCGUGAGUGAUGAAGGCCUUAGGGUUGUAAAGCUCUUUUACCCGGGAUGAUAAUGACAGUACCGGGAGAAUAAGCUCCGGCUAACUCCGUGCCAGCAGCCGCGGUAAUACGGAGGGAGCUAGCGUUGUUCGGAAUUACUGGGCGUAAAGCGCACGUAGGCGGCUUUGUAAGUUAGAGGUGAAAGCCCGGAGCUCAACUCCGGAACUGCCUUUAAGACUGCAUCGCUUGAAUCCAGGAGAGGUGAGUGGAAUUCCGAGUGUAGAGGUGAAAUUCGUAGAUAUUCGGAAGAACACCAGUGGCGAAGGCGGCUCACUGGACUGGUAUUGACGCUGAGGUGCGAAAGCGUGGGGAGCAAACAGGAUUAGAUACCCUAGUAGUCCGAAGUUC